UUUAUCGAAAAUUAGUGAAAAUUGCGCGACGGAGAAAAUCGGGAAAUAAAUAAAGUGAAUUAAAUUAAAUUAAAUUCAUCUCCAGCCGGACCAAAGUGUGCUGCAACAUGUGCGGAGGAUUCACCUGCUCGAAGAAUGCGCUCAUAGCGCUCAACAUUUUGUAUGUGAUGAUUGGUUUCCUGCUGAUUGGCGUGGGGGUCUAUGCGCGGGCCGCCUCCAUUGUCACCAAUCUGCCCAUUGUGGGCGGCAUCCUGGCUUGCGGCGUAAUACUCAUCUGCAUCUCCAUGCUGGGCCUCGCCGGCGCUGUGAAGCACCAUCAAGUGAUGCUCUUCUUUUACAUGAUCAUCCUGUUUAUGCUCUUCCUCAUCCAGUUCUCCAUUGCCAGCUCUUGCCUGGCCGUCAAUUCCGAGCAGCAGCAGCAGUUUGCCGAGCAGGGAUGGAUGACAGUGCCCCCAGAGUUGCGGCAACAGGUGCAGGAGAGCCUCCACUGCUGCGGCUUCAAUGCCACCAGCAGCAUCAACCUCCCGACGUCUCCCCUGGCUCCGACAGACGAACCCUCUUGUGAGCUGGUGAAUCGAAAGUGCUGCGAACAGUCGAACGAUGUGGAUUGUCAUUGCCCCGCUUGUGGUCCCAUGCUGGAGGACAAGAUCGACUAUGCGUUCAAGCUGUGCGGCGGUCUGGGCAUCUUCUUCAGCUUCACCGAGUUUGUUGGCGUCUGGCUAACCGUGCGCUAUCGCAAUCAAAAGGAUCCGCGCGGCUUGCCCAGCGCCUUUCUCUAAAUUUUUCACUAAAUCAGUACAGAAAUAGUUAUCCCCGACAUAUGUAGCAACAGGCAAAGUUAUAUCGAUUUAUGUGUGUGUAUCUCUGUCUCCCUGUAUCUCUCUUUCUGCGAAAUGUUGCUAUGGAUGUGGGGGAGUAUUUCAUGGGUCAUAGACCAGAAGAGAGAGCUCUUUGGGUCUGCAUACAUCUUAUAUAUUUAUACCAUCUACAAACACAUAUAUAUAUAUACAGAUAUAUAUAAUCGCAUUGCAGCAGAAAUAUGUACGUAAUGUGUUAGGUCGUAAUUGAUAUACAAUACAACUUUAGACAUAUAUACACUCAUACAGAUAUAGUGUUAUAUAUAUAUAUAUAUAGAGGAGGAGAGAGCCAGGUGUUUAAUCCAUAUAAAGCAAUCAACAAUCCCUUCUUAACCCUACACUAACACUCUUUAUCUUGAACUAACUAAAAACCAACUGCCGGGCUCUUUGACUAAGCCCAAUCGACCAGAGACCAAGGGUCUUGGCCGUUUUUCUGGCACGUCGCUAUCGCAAUCAACACGAUCCCUGCUAUCUGCCUGCCCGCGCCGUAUUUCCACACAACUAUCUGUACUGAUCGGCCCAAGGAUAUGGUUAAGGAUUGAACAAUAUGGAUACAGGAACGAUACAUGGUGCAUUUUUAGUCAAAGGGACGAAGGCUGAAUAUUCUUAUUUGUACAACAUAUGCGCGUACGUUUCCUAGCAAGAAUCGAAUACCAUACUCGAACAAGAGAUUACCCGAAGGCAGGGGAGAGAGUGCUCAAUGCUGCUACUGCUGCUGCUAAUUUUUAAACAAUUUUUAUUGUAUAUGUAUAGCUUAUUUGAAUUGCACAAAGAUGGGCGCGGGAUAUGUACCGCCCCUAAAAGAGAUUAUGUUUAGCUGUAAUGUUUUACUCUAAGUUAAGUUGUGCUGUUUUCCACACCUUUGUUAGCUAUUUUGAAAGCCUUUCUUUGCAACUCGCAACAAUCAUGAAUGACUCAACUGCUGUACCACGAGAGAAACUACGACAAGAGAAACAUUUCGGAAACCUGAUCUUCAAGUAGAAUCUUACAACCAAGUCAACAAUUGUAACUAGCAACCUAGUAAGCAACUAAAACUAAACUAAACCUAGACAUAACGCAACGUAACACAUCAACCUAUAUACAUACAAAACGUGUUUGCAUAUUCAACAAUACUCUCAAUGUUAGUUGUGUGUUAAUGAUCCAAAAGAACAAAAACGAACAAAAAAAUUAAAACAUUAAGUAACCCAACUACAAAAUAUACAUGUCAACAAUUAUAUACAACUCUCUAAAAGAUAGACAACCUCCUACCGCGCAUAGGCACACUGCUCUUUUCCACAGCUUCUGCUCUGUUUUUCCGCACUUGCUUGACUUUCUCUGCCACUUUUCUCCCUCUCUCGCUAUCCGUCUCGUAAUUUACAGAACAAACACACAUCACACCACGCUUCCUCCUUUCACACACACACACACACACAACAUAUGGAAAUAGUUUUCCCUUGUCUCCACGUUUCCAGUUUCCUUUCGAGCGACAAAUAAACCAUUAGAUAAUAUUCUCUGUAUUCUGUGCUGUGAUUGAAGUAAAUAUGAUCUUUAAAACAACAACAAAA